AUUUUAUUUUUUAGCAAUGGUUGCCUACCUGCGUAGGCAUUAAAAAGGGAAUCUGGUGAAAUUCCAGAACUGUCCCGCAGCUGUAAGCUUUUUGAUGAAGCCCAAUAAUUGGUCACUUUCUUUUUUAGAUGGGAAGGCCGGGUGGAUAAAGCAAGUCAGAAUACCUGCCAUUUCUUUUUAAUUCAU
rnacentral:ncRNA from 2 species